rnacentral:rRNA from 1 species
AUUGAACGCUGGCGGAAGGCCUAACACAUGCAAGUCGAGCGAGCGGCGGACGGGUGAGUAAUGUCUGGGAAACUGCCUGAUGGAGGGGGAUAACUAAUGGAAACGGUAGCUAAUACAGCAUACCAUCAGAUGUGCCCAGAUGGGAUUAGCUAGUAGGUGGGGUAAAGGCUAACCUCGGCGACGAUCCCUAGCUGGUCUGAGAGGAUGACCAGCCACACUGGAACGUAGACACGGUCCAGACUCCGACGGGAGGCAGCAGUGGGGAAUAUUGCACAAUGGGCGCAAGCCUGAUGCAGCCAUGCCGCGUGUGUGAAGAAGGCCUUCGGGUUGUAAAGCACUUUCAGCGGGGAGGCGUUACCCGCAGAAGAAGCACCGGCUAACUCCGUGCCAGCAGCCGCGGUAAUUC